rnacentral:lncRNA from 1 species
CAACUCACCUUCAUGCUACAUCUCGGCAAAUACAGCUCAUAUCCAGGCACGGUGCAGCCCUUGACAGCUGGGUCCGCAAAGGCAGAUCGGGUAUAUCUUUAAAGAAAAGUUAUCUUAACCAUUGAGAAGCCUUCCUUCCUCAGAGGAGAGCACCUCCCCAGCAGACCUCCGAGGAGACCAAGGGCAGGACAGGAAGGGUGAAAGGAAGUUUCAGGACUGCAGGAAAUAAGAGCUUGGAGGUCAAGGGAGAGAUCAGAUAAAACAUGAAUCUGAUCAGCAUCCUAGUGGUCUAGAGUGGAGACAAUCUGCGGAGUCAACCUCAGUAAGGACACACAUAGAGAAGAACCAAAGCCUCUAAAGACGAAGCUGAGAAGUGUACGGUCGUAGAAGACUCGUGUCUGUUAUUCUUAAAAGCUCAAGGAGAUGUUCUGCCAAUUGAAUGGAAACUGUCCAUAGUGGGGAGCAGAGAGCCUCAUCUUUUCUGGAACUGAACAUCCAUCCUUAAGGCCAGAUUUCUCCCAUCACCAACUUUAACUCCUGCCCUAGCCCUCUCUCUUCCUUUUCAAAACCCUCUCCACCCAGGAAGGGAGAUUCUGGAGCCAAGACUGUACCAGCCACACCUCCCCAGAGUUGUUAAGGAAGGAACUCGAAGCCAGGGGUGGUCUUCUGGCAAGCACCCCCACUACCAGUAGCAG